UUUCUUACACACCCACCUAACACUCAUCCUCACCAUUGACCAAAAAACAAUACACAUACAUGCCAUUUUCUUUGAUAUUGUUCGCAACACACACAACGCACCAAGAGCACACACUACUGAUUCACGAGAAAUGCACUCACACACUCAUGGAUUGAGGAUAUACACUUAAAAAUUAGGUGAAAGAGGUGGGUGAGGACAGAUCUACCAUCGCACAGACGCACACCCAUCGAUUUUUUAUGCAAGAAAGGUCGAUUCAAAUGGUUAAGGAAGGGAAACGGGUAAGAAUUGCUUGAACAUGGUCAGAAACAGUGUCGCCGGUGAGAAUUUGGUAGUAGUUUGUGUAUCUCCGGCAAAAUUUUCGUCGGAAUCGUCAUCAGCUGGUCGAUUUGACUGGUCCAGUCACGAACACCUCCCUAAAUCUCUUCGUUUUCUUCAUGUUUAAAUUCAACCUUGCUGAAAAAUGUCAAGAGUCGCUAAAAUCCACCCCAUCCCAUUGAUAUUCGUCACACCGGAGUUCGUCAAAGUUUCAGCCGUAUAGUUUCGGUUCCUUCAUUAAUUUUGGUUUUUGGUCACUCAUUGUCCUUAAUAGUUUUCUGCGUUUCUAAUCGAAUUUCGAAAGGUCUUGUUGAAGUUGGCUCAUAGACGAGUGGUGGUAUUCUUCGAGGUUUUCAAAACGGCCCUUAUAUCUCUUAUUAAGUCAAUCGAAAGCUAUUGAGGUCCAGUUCUUCUCUCAUUCUCUAUUUUUAUCUCGAAUUUUGAUUGUUCUUGCGGAUGUGAAUGUUUUUGGUGUGCUUAUCAUGCUUGAAUCUUUACUGUGUGUUUAGUUGAUAUUGGUUGAUGUUGAAUUUGGGCGCGAGUAAUUGAAUUGAUAAUUGAAGCAUGUGUUAAUCAUUGGUUGAGAAUGAAUUCGGGGGUGGAACUGGAAAUUGAUAGAAGAGGGAAUUUAGAUUAACUUUGGUUUAUUAUUGUUUAAUUUGGAGUGAGCAUGAAUAUUAUUGAAACAGAUAGGCAAAUGUAGGUUCGGGUAGGCGAAAUUUAAGAAUUGUGCUUUUGUUGAAUGCGGAAUGUGUGUUGAAUGUUUUCUAGUUUAUCGAAUUUGAUUCAAGUGUAUUUAUUUGGCCAAGGAAUGCCCCGAGGCCUUCAUGUUCAUUUGCCAGGGAAUGCCCCGAAGUACUUAUGUUCAUUCACCGAGGAUGCCCCGAUGUAUUAUGUCUUCAAAGGAGGUUCGUGAUGAAGGCUCGAGGCAUUGGGUAAAGCAACAGAGUUUAGCCUAGGACUAGUUUAGAAUAUGAUUUGUAUUUUCGCACUUUUCUGUUUCAGUUUGUAAUAAUUGGACUGGACAUUAUGAUUUUGGAUUUGUUUUGUUUUGUUGGUUUGAUUGAUUGUUUUGUGUGUUUUAUGUGGUUUAUACAUUCGUAGUGUAAAAUUAGCCGAUAUUCUCCACCAAACGACCGUGGUUGAACCACGGGAUUGAGGGGUACCUAACACCUUCCAUUCGGUCAACAGAAUUCCUUAGCCGGAAUCUCUGUUCGUAAAUCAGUUUUAGAGUCAAAAUAGUUUUGAAAAAGGAUUUUCAAAGGUGACUUGGCAAUCCCGAUUAUGUCAAGUGGCGACUCUGAGUUAAUUAUAAAAUGAAUCCUUUUCAAAAUAAUUUUCAUCUUUUGGAACUUUAAUAAUAAAAACCCUUUUAAAACUUAAAAUUCAUAAUCUUUUUGGUUAAAAAGGGGUGUAGCAGCUCUGGCGACUCUGCUGGGGACUUUUCAGAAUUCGAGCUAAUUUUGGAGUUGUACCGGCUUUGUUCAACAUUAUGGGUGUAUAGACAUUGUUUGUGUUAUUGUUUGUAUUCAUUUUAUCAGUGUUGAGUGCCUACGUGCUCUUUGUUUAUAGUUUUACUUUAUGUGUUACCGCUUUAUAUCUGGCAUCAUGUGCAUAAUCCGAGUCAUUCUUUCUGCAACAAGUCUGUAGUACACGUGUUGUACACGACCUUUAGUUGAGUCACCCUUAUUUUAGGAGGGGGAGCCGUUGGUGUUAUGGAGUGGGUGGAAAGCUGUCACGGCCACUUCGACCAUAUGCACCCCCGAAUAGCCUUGUUAGUGAACCUCAACGUAGGUCAGCCUUUAGUUCAUGCUUAUCUACAUCAUAUUGAGACCUAACGGGACCCACGUGACCCUUCGUAGGAGACUCACCUCUAAAGCAUCUCUACGUGCUAAAUGUUGCAUCUCUAAGGAUAGUGUGGUCAUUUGACGGACUAAUUUGGGAAAAGCAUGUGUUAGAAGUAAGAUGUGUAGACAAGAAAGUGUUGAAAAAAAGUGAGAAAAAGAAAAGGGUGAGUCAAAAAAGAGUUUCGUAAGUUUUAGAGUUCUUUAUGGCUUUUGAUUUUUUUUUUCACAAUCCAAAAAUUCAAAAAGAUUUUUUUUACCUUUCGCACUCAUUUUCUCUUUUUAUUCCUUUACAAUGCAUUCAUAAUUCGAAAAUUUCAAAAGAUUUUGUUUCAAAUAGGAGCUUUUAUAAAAGGAAAAUUCAAAAAAGAUGGUAGAAGUUUUGUAUAUUUCAUAUCGAAAAUAUCAAAAGAAUUUUUCUUUCAUAGUUGUUGGUGUCAUUUUUGUGUGAAGUGUCAAAUUAAAACACAAAAAUAUUUUUCUUUCAUUGUCUGUUUGUAAUCGUGUCGCUCAAGUUAAGUUUUAGUUUGUUAUUUAAUCCUUAAUUGUCCAAUCUGAACGAACUACGCACCCCUGAUUCUCCUCUCUUAGGAGUGAGAUACGUAGGCAACCUAUUGUGGGUUCGGGGAUCUUAUUUCAAAAAUUCAAAAAAAAGAAAAGAUUUUCUUCACUUUUUUUUUAGAGUAGUGUCACAUACAUCUUUAAAGAAAACCACAAAAAGAUUUUUCUUUAAUAGGUUCAAGUGUCAUUUUCAUAUGAAAUUCAAAAUUGAAAUUCCAAAAAGAUUUUUCUUUGGUAAUCAUAGGUUUCAUUUUGUAUAGGAAUUUUAAACGUGAAAAAUGCAAAAAGAGUCUAUUCUUUUGAUAAUUUGUUAUUUUCUUCUCUUUUUAAAGUUUCAAGAAAAGAAAAAAAGAAAGGAAAAAAGUUUAAUUGGUCAUUUUGGCAAAACUUCACGAACUACGCACACCUGAUUCUCCUCUUUCGGGAGUGAGAUACGUAGGCGCCCUUCUUGGGUUCGGUGAUCUUUUCUAAAAGAAAAAAAAAGGUUUUGAAGAAAAUGUUGAACUCUAACAUAUUUGUUGCCUCUUGUUCAGUUAGUUUAAGGUGGUUGGUUUGUGGCAUCCUAGCUGGUCCUCCACAUCGCACCAAAUCUAAAGAAGGUUUAGCUGUGUUCAACAAAGAUACGAUGAGUGACCUCAUGGAUCAAACAAAGAGGCCGAAAAAUGAGAGUUUAAAGGAAGAGAAUUUGAGACUAAGACAACAAAUGAUGGAAAUGUAUCGAGCUUGGGCUAAUGGGCUACCUUCUCCUCCAUUCCCCACUAUUGAUCCUGCCAAUAUCUUGAGUUUUCCAUCACAAUUGCAAAAGUCAGUUCCCUAUUGUUGAUUGACGCACCACAACAUGCCUCGAAAUUCAUGCCACGUCAGCUACAUCUCAAUACAUCCACCACUCAUUCUCUAGCUCCUCGGGUCAUAGUGUUGAUGGUUGUAGUGCUUUGAAAAGAGAAAUGGAAAGGUUAAUUCAAGAAAAUUUGAUCGUAGUGCAAAACAUUGACACUACGAAAGUCACACAGAAUCCUUCACCCACACACGGUAAUGCAUGAUAUGAUAUGUGGGAAGUAAUGAGUCAAACACGGAGAUCCAAAACUUAUUUGUUGAAGAAAAUGUGUCUGACAGUGGUGGAAGCUCUAGUCAUGCUGAUAUAAAAACCAGUGGCUAAGUUGUCAGGCUGAGCAAUUGAGAAGUUACCCCUCUCCCUACUAGGAAGAGGUCUGGUAGUUUGUUUUGUUUUAUUUUCUGUUAUCCGAAUUAUUUUAGGGUUGUAGUUCAGGAUCUAUAUUAUUUUGUUUCUCUUUCGUCUUUGUUUAAACCCUUCUAUCUUUUCUUUCAAUGAAAUGUGGUGUCCCUUGUCGUUUUGUCUCAUUUUAAGUUAUUUGUUUGUUUUCUUUACAUAGUACAUUUUUAUGUUGGCUCUAGUGAUAUGACAUACUGAUGGAACUUUCAGCUAGAUCUUAAAAUCCAAUUUGAGUAUAAACUUUGAAUCAGAGGGCUAAAGUUAGAAAAAGCAUCCGAGAAAAUAUGUAGAGUGCUGAGACAUUUGGUGACAAGUUGAAACCUUUCUAAAAAAUUAAGGCAAUUGUUUUGAGAAUCACAAGAAUAACUUGGUCAUCAAUUGAAAGACAUGUCUCAAUUAGGUCAAAUAGUGGCUGCGUGAACAUAAUGAAAAUCAGCUCCAUAAAAUCAUGAGUCAUUCAAUGUGAGGAAUGUACAACAAAGGUGAAGUUUGCGAAAGAAGUAGUGACGCACAGACUCAGUCAAAGUUAAUGUUGUAAGAGGUGUCACAAUGAUCUUCAUCUUUCAUCUUCACUUGCAUGCUAUGUACUAGUAUUUUCAAGGAUUAAUAUGAUGAAGGC
rnacentral:lncRNA from 1 species